rnacentral:rRNA from 1 species
GCUCAACCGGGGAGGGUCAUUGGAAACUGGGGAACUUGAGUGCAGAAGAGGAGAGUGGAAUUCCACGUGUAGCGGUGAAAUGCGUAGAGAUGUGGAGGAACACCAGUGGCGAAGGCGACUCUCUGGUCUGCAACUGACGCUGAGGCGCGAAAGCGUGGGGAGCGAACAGGAUUAGAUACCCUGGUAGUCCACGCCGUAAACGAUGAGUGCUAAGUGUUAGAGGGUUUCCGCCCUUUAGUGCUGCAGCAAACGCAUUAAGCACUCCGCCUGGGGAGUACGGUCGCAAGACUGAAACUCAAAGGAAUUGACGGGGGCCCGCACAAGCGGUGGAGCAUGUGGUUUAAUUCGAAGCAACGCGAAGAACCUUACCAGGUCUUGACAUCCUUUGACAACCCUAGAGAUAGGGCUUCCCCUUCGGGGGCAGAGUGACAGGUGGUGCAUGGUUGUCGUCAGCUCGUGUCGUGAGAUGUUGGGUUAAGUCCCGCAACGAGCGCAACCCUUGAUCUUAGUUGCCAGCAUUCAGUUGGGCACUCUAAGGUGACUGCCGGUGACAAACCGGAGGAAGGUGGGGAUGACGUCGAAUCAUCAUGCCCCUUAUGACCUGGGCUACACACGUGCUACAAUGGGCAGAACAAAG